rnacentral:rRNA from 1 species
AGAGUUUGAUCCUGGCUCAGAACGAACGCUGGCGGCAUGCCUAACACAUGCAAGUCGAACGAGAACCCUGGCUUCGGCCAGGCAGACAGUGGCGGACGGGUGAGUAACGCGUGGGAAUUUGCCCUGGGGUACGGAACAACUCAUGGAAACGUGAGCUAAUACCGUAUACGCUCUUAUUUCUUGGCGGAAUAAGAGGAAAGAUUUAUCGCCCCUGGAUGAGCCCGCGUAGGAUUAGCUAGUUGGUGAGGUAACGGCUCACCAAGGCGACGAUCUUUAGCUGGUUUGAGAGGAUGAUCAGCCACACUGGGACUGAGACACGGCCCAGACUCCUACGGGAGGCAGCAGUGGGGAAUAUUGGACAAUGGGGGCAACCCUGAUCCAGCAAUGCCGCGUGAGUGAAGAAGGCCUUAGGGUUGUAAAACUCUUUCAGUGGGGAAGAUAAUGACGGUACCCACAGAAGAAGCUCCGGCUAACUCCGUGCCAGCAGCCGCGGUAAUACGGAGGGAGCUAGCGUUGUUCGGAAUUACUGGGCGUAAAGCGUACGUAGGCGGAUUGGUAAGUUGGGGGUGAAAUCCCGGGGCUCAACCCCGGAACUGCCCUCAAAACUGCCAGUCUAGAGACCGGGAGAGGUAAGCGGAAUUCCUAGUGU